AUUGAACGCUGGCGGCAUGCUUUACACAUGCAAGUCGAACGGCAGCGCGGGGCAACCUGUCGGCGAGUGGCGAACGGGUGAGUAAUAUAUCGGAACGUACCCAGAAGUGGGGGAUAACGUAGCGAAAGUUACGCUAAUACCGCAUACGAUCUACGGAUGAAAGUAGGGGACCGCAAGGCCUUAUGCUUUUGGAGCGGCCGAUAUCUGAUUAGCUAGUUGGUGAGGUAAAGGCUCACCAAGGCGACGAUCAGUAGCUGGUCUGAGAGGACGACCAGCGACACUGGAACUGAGACACGGUCCAGACUCCUACGGGAGGCAGCAGUGGGGAAUUUUGGACAAUGGGCGCAAGCCUGAUCCAGCAAUGCCGCGUGAGUGAAGAAGGCCUUCGGGUUGUAAAGCUCUUUUGUCAGGGAAGAAACGGUAGAGGCUAAUAUCCUUUGCUAAUGACGGUACCUGAAGAAUAAGCACCGGCUAACUACGUG
rnacentral:rRNA from 1 species